rnacentral:rRNA from 1 species
GACGAACGCUGGCGGCGUGCUUAACACAUGCAAGUCGAGCGGUAAGGCCCUUUCGGGGGUACACGAGCGGCGAACGGGUGAGUAACACGUGGGUGACCUGCCCUCAGCUCUGGGAUAAGCCUGGGAAACCGGGUCUAAUACUGGAUAUGACUCCAUGACGCAUGUUGUGGGGUGGAAAGCCUUGUGCGGCUGAGGAUGGGCCCGCGGCCUAUCAGCUUGUUGGUGGGGUGANGGCCUACCAAGGCGACGACGGGUAGCCGGCCUGAGAGGGCGACCGGCCACACUGGGACGUGAGACACGGUCCAGACUCCUACGGGAGGCAGCAGUGGGGAAUUUUCGUCAAUGGGGGCGAACCCUGACGAAGCAA